rnacentral:rRNA from 1 species
UACGUAGGGUGCAAGCGUUGUCCGGAAUUAUUGGGCGUAAAGAGCUCGUAGGCGGUUUGUCGCGUCUGCUGUGAAAAUCCGGGGCUCAACCCCGGACUUGCAGUGGGUACGGGCAGACUAGAGUGUGGUAGGGGAGACUGGAAUUCCUGGUGUAGCGGUGAAAUGCGUAGAGAUCGGGAAGAACAUCGGUGGCGAAGGCGCUCUACUGGACCACAACUGACACUCAGGGACGAAAGCUAGGGGAGCGAAUGGG